UGGGGAAUAAAGUGAGGCACGUGUGCCUUUUUGUAUGUACUUUAUGAAUAAGGAUCGGCUAACUCCGUGCCAGCAGCCGCGGUAAUACGGAGGAUCCGAGCGUUAUCCGGAUUUAUUGGGUUUAAAGGGAGCGUAGGUGGACAGUUAAGUCAGUUGUGAAAGUUUGCGGCUCAACCGUAAAAUUGCAGUUGAUACUGGCUGUCUUGAGUACAGUAGAGGUGGGCGGAAUUCGUGGUGUAGCGGUGAAAUGCUUAGAUAUCACGAAGAACUCCGAUUGCGAAGGCAGCUCACUGGACUGCAACUGACACUGAUGCUCGAAAGUGUGGGUAUCAAACAGG
rnacentral:rRNA from 1 species